UGCCAUUCUACUUCCCGUGUCUAUGGAUUUGGCUGGAUCAGAUUCUUCUUAUCAGCAGUUGCUGUUUAAGGGAAGCAGUACGGACACUCCUUUGCAUGUGCUUCGACACCCAGAGGACGCCAUUUGGAUGGACUGCAACGCAGCUGGGGGUGAAUGGGGGAAGGAGCUCCCUAGGAGUCCCUGUGGAUAUCAUCAAGAGCUUACGGUGAGACUUCGAUGGACCCUCAGUGCCUCCCUGGAAGGAGCCACAGCCACUGCCAGAGAAGCACAGUGUCCUCCACAUCCCAGAACUUUGUUACCAGACAGACAUCCUUCAUGGCCCAAGCCCCUUCUUAAUGUUGAGUUAGAUGCUGAGGGAGACACAUUAAUUCUUUCAGACCGCUAGGGAAAUGUCUAGGGCACUGCUGCCACAGGCACACAGUCAGUGUAGGCAGACGGCAGCCGAUUUAUUGACUUGCAACAAUAAAGCCAGCAAUGUUACCCUGGAGACCUGCAAGUGUUGGAUGAUCUCUUCUAAGUAGCUAACUCAGUUCUGGGAGCACUGCAGCCUUAGGGAAUGAGGGUUUAUUGCGAUAUUAGGAAGAAACAAUUAAUGCCCUCUUCGCCUAAGUUUCCUUGUCAAUAAAUCAAGGAUAAUGCUCCUUUUCUCUGAAGAGACUGAGGGUAGCCUGGGAAAAUGGAAGAGAAGCAUCCUGUAGACACAGUACAUGGAAAUGCUUUGUCUGCCAGUGCUAGCAAUGAAGCUGAUCCCACCAGGCCACACCAGUGACAUUGGGUGGCAUAUCGUCACAUCUGCUUCUAUUUUGUGCUAUUCAUACUUCCAGUACAGUUAAAUCCUAGCUCUCCUUUUGUUGCGUACCAUUAAUUUAUGUCCUAUGAAGUGCCAAUUAAUUUCAUUUUUGCUUCUACUACAUGCUCAAGAUGUUUUAUAAAGUAGACAUAUGUUAGCAUGACAAAAUGAUGCAAUGACCAGCUAGCGUGGGGUAGUUCCCUGCAUUACCCCUGAAGGUUCCUCUCUACCAGGGAAGUUAACAUUGUCUCAGUUUUCACCAAAUUCUAUAGAGAAGUCUCUACCUGAUUCUAGGCCCCUGACCUUGUGUUGCUUAGCCUAUUUACUUUAAAGCACUUGGAGUUGUAAGUUCUUACCCUGUCUUUUGAGAAGCAAGUCUUCUACAAUCCAGGAUUGUCUUGCUUUAGGACCCUGGAGCCAUCCCUUUGAGACAGAGUCAUUAAGAUAGGGUCGCUGUCUCCCAGACUUUGUUUAAGGGAAGAAGCCUUCUGCAAGUAUCCAUGAGCAGCACAGAUGGCCUACUCACACUGCUCCAACGUCCUUCAGUGCAUGCUCAGUAGCUCCCUCCACUGCUCAAAGUUCUCCAGCCUUUGUGUUAAUGGAUGGAGUUGAGCUCAGUCUCUCCUAUUGCAGUAAUCUUUGCUCAUCUGAUCACAGCCUUGAGCAAUCUUCCUGCACAUUCUCACAAGUGCCUGGUAAGUUUUUUUUCACGCCGUGUUCACUGAGUGGAUUGGGGUAUAUGAUUCCUAUGAUUUUUUUUUUUUAACCUCUGACCACAUGUUCUAGUCGCAAAUCAUUUAAUAUUUAUUUUUUUGUUUUCAAACUUUGUGUAAAUGAAAAUUCACUGUAUAUUUCACAUCAAACCACAAGAAUGAGCUUUAACAUGUGCUGAAAAGAGAGUUGGUUAUAAAAAUUUAUUACCAAAAUAACCAUGACUUUUAUAUAGCUUACAAACAAAAGAAUGGGCUCAGAGCCAGGACAGUUAAAAAUAGUAAAACAAAAACAAACCUUGAGAAAAUUCUUAGUCCAUUAAUUUAUACUGAACUGAUACUUUUUGAAGCAUACAGUAUCCUUGACAUUUUUUUUUUUUUUUUUUUUUUUUUUUUUUUUUUUUGGUUUUUCUCCGGUACUGGGAACUGAACUCAUGACCUUGCACUUGCCAGGCAGGCGCUUUUUGCCGCUGAGCUAAAUCCCCAGCCCCAGUAUCCUUGACAUUGAAUUUCUAUGUCAUUUAUACCCAGUAGUUCUCAUUGGUAGACAAGUAUAACUGUGACAGAUAAUCAAAUUUUUCUUUAACUCUGUGUCUUCAAAGAAAAUAUAAUGGCGUAUUUAGCACAUUGACAAUUGGCCCUAAUUAGUUUCUAAUAUUUUCCCCAUGCAACAAUUCAAUAUGUACAAUGAUUAAAAACACUCUAAAUGCAACUCUCGUUUCUGAUUUCACUGAGAUCGAACUGUCAAAUCUUUGUUGAUGACACAGGAAAAUUCAAAUCCGAGAAUGCAAAGAGAAUGAAGAAAAAUUCCAGAAGGACCAACAUGACUUGCUAAUGGAAUUAGAUUUCAGCAGCUGGGAAACAACACAAACACAAAGCCCUGAUCUAGACCUUGGAAGGCAUUAUUCUCCUGGAGUAUGCAAACACUACAUGUUAGACACAGGUUAUUCACUGGGGGUCUACACUCUGAGUAUGUCUAAUUCAUAGUACUAGGAUAUCAAGGAGACACUCAUUCUAGAGUAUAAAGUAAUUUCAGACACUUAGAACUUCUCCCUCUACUUCUCAUUUAUAAUUCUACCAAACAUAAACAGUACCCAUUUGGGACAAUUUGCAGACAGUUGCCCUUAUUUUUAUGUUUGGUCAAGGGAACAAAUUUCAACUUUGAUCAUCAAACACUUGGAUAGUCUUCAUAGCAUUAGCUCCUUGUAAUGAUGGAUACAUUGUGCCAAUUUGAGAACUGAGCCGUUCAGAAGCUCAACUGACUUAGCAGGGGGCCAGGGUCCUCACUUUGUAAACAUCCUGAGCUUGGAGGAGGGCACCAAGAUGGUGUGGGCCGAUAGCCUACAUACUAUAUAAAGGAGAAAAAGAGGCUUGUUUUCUCCCACUUUUGCUCCUGUUGCUUUUGCUGUCUUCUCCCCCCUUGGACUAUUGCCCUUGUGCCAGGCCCUGCUGCCUUGCAGACAGCUGAUUCUGGACUGAAACCUCCACAACUGUGAGCUAAAUAAACCUUUCC
rnacentral:lncRNA from 1 species